rnacentral:rRNA from 1 species
GUAGCUUGCUACUUUGCUGACGAGCGGCGGACGGGUGAGUAAUGCUUGGGAACAUGCCUUGAGGUGGGGGACAACAGUUGGAAACGACUGCUAAUACCGCAUAAUGUCUACGGACCAAAGGGGGCUUCGGCUCUCGCCUUUAGAUUGGCCCAAGUGGGAUUAGCUAGUUGGUGAGGUAAUGGCUCACCAAGGCGACGAUCCCUAGCUGGUUUGAGAGGAUGAUCAGCCACACUGGGACUGAGACACGGCCCAGACUCCUACGGGAGGCAGCAGUGGGGAAUAUUGCACAAUGGGCGCAAGCCUGAUGCAGCCAUGCCGCGUGUGUGAAGAAGGCCUUCGGGUUGUAAAGCACUUUCAGUCAGGAGGAAAGGUUAACGGUUAAUACCCGUUAGCUGUGACGUUACUGACAGAAGAAGCACCGGCUAACUCCGUGCCAGCAGCCGCGGUAAUACGGAGGGUGCGAGCGUUAAUCGGAAUUACUGGGCGUAAAGCGUACGCAGGCGGUUUGUUAAGCGAGAUGUGAAAGCCCCGGGCUCAACCUGGGAACUGCAUUUCGAACUGGCAAACUAGAGUGUGAUAGAGGGUGGUAGAAUUUCAGGUGUAGCGGUGAAAUGCGUAGAGAUCUGAAGGAAUACCGAUGGCGAAGGCAGCCACCUGGGUCAACACUGACGCUCAUGUACGAAAGCGUGGGGAGCAAACGGGAUUAGAUACCCCGGUAGUCCACGCCGUAAACGAUGUCUACUAGAAGCUCGGAGCCUCGGUUCUGUUUUUCAAAGCUAACGCAUUAAGUAGACCGCCUGGGGAGUACGGCCGCAAGGUUAAAACUCAAAUGAAUUGACGGGGGCCCGCACAAGCGGUGGAGCAUGUGGUUUAAUUCGAUGCAACGCGAAGAACCUUACCUACACUUGACAUACAGAGAACUUACCAGAGAUGGUUUGGUGCCUUCGGGAACUCUGAUACAGGUGCUGCAUGGC